rnacentral:lncRNA from 1 species
CUCACAGGCACCAGCAUUCUGGUCCCGGUGAGAGCAUCCUUACUCAGUGUGAAAGAGUCCAUGAUCAUUCUGAUCUAUCUGUACACACAGUCAAUUCUCAUUAUUCAUGGUAGUCAUGUUCUGCAAACUUGCCCCAAGCAAUGAAUUAUGGAAUAUUGAAUCAUUGCUCCCAAGGAAAAUAUAGGGUUAGGUUCCUGUGAGCCUCUGGCUAUCACAUUUUCAUUAACAAAUCACUACACAAACUUAUUUUAUGUGUGCUUCUGUUUAAAGAUGCCACAUGUAAUCUUAGCAACUAGGUGAAUUCACAAAUAUAGAAUCUGUGAAUAAUGAAGAUCAACUGUAUACCUCAGGCAGAUGAACUUGACGAACUGAAGCCUAACAUUGAAAAAUGCACCUUCUCGUGCUGACAAAGUAAGCUACUGGACCUGCAGAGCCAAGGCCCAGGCCCCAACUUUUCUCUCAACUUGAACCUUGUGCCUAAAGAAGGCUUUAGAUGAAAAAUAGCUAUAGUUUACUCCACCCCACCGCUAUGCACGCUCCAUUCACAGUAUUACUGGCAAUGUGUUCAUUCUGCAAGUGAGGGCAUCAGAUCACUUCCAGUUGUGCAGCAUUACAAGUGUUGCAGCCAUGCACAUCUUUGCACACAUAUGCUCUAUUGAGAAGUGAAAUUCCUGGGUCACAGGGGAAUGGCAUCUGUAAUUUUACUGAGUUUAUCCAAGUUGCUUUCCAAAGUAGUUCUAUCAGUUACUCUCCCACCAGUAACGUAGUGUGGAAGUAUGGCCAAAACAAAACGAAACUUUAAAUUACUCUUUUUCU